GACGAACGCUGGCGGCGUGCUUAACACAUGCAAGUCGAGCGGUAAGGCCCUUUCGGGGGUACGACGAGCGGCGAACGGGUGAGUAACACGUGGGUGACCUGCCCUCAGCUCUGGGAUAAGCCUGGGAAACCGGGUCUAAUACUGGAUAUGACUCCAUGACGCAUGUUGGUGGGGUGGAAAGCCUUGUGCGGCUGAGGAUGGGCCCGCGGCCUAUCAGCUUGUUGGUGGGGUGAGGCCUACCAAGGCGACGACGGGUAGCCGGCCGUGAGAGGGCGACCGGCCACACUGGGACUGAGACACGGCCCACGACUCCUACGGGAGGCAGCAGUGGGGAAUCUUGCGCAAUGGGCGAAAGCCUGACGCAGCGACGCCGCGUGA
rnacentral:rRNA from 1 species